CCUACGGGGGGCAGCAGUGAGGAAUAUUGGUCAAUGGGCGAGAGCCUGAACCAGCCAAGUCGCGUGAGGGAGUACUGCCCUAUGGGUUGUAAACCUCUUUUGUCGGGGAGCAAAAGCCGGACGUGUCCGGCUGUGAGAGUACCCGAAGAAAAAGCAUCGGAUAACUCCGUGCCAGCAGCCGCGGUAAUACGGAGGAUGCGAGCGUUAUCCGGAUUUAUUGGGUUUAAAGGGUGCGCAGGCGGAUUUUUAAGUCAGCGGUAAAAUCGUGGGGCUCAACCCCAUCCAGCCGUUGAAACUGGGGAUCUAGAGUGUGCGAGAGGUAUGCGGAAUGCGUGGUGUAGCGGUGAAAUGCAUAGAUAUCACGCAGAACCCCGAUUGCGAAGGCAGCAUACCGGUGCACAACUGACGCUCAGGCACGAAAGCGUGGGUAUCGAACAGGAUUAGAUACCCUGGUAGUC
rnacentral:rRNA from 1 species